rnacentral:rRNA from 1 species
AGGUAAUAGUCCUGUAUGUUAAACGAGAAGACUUUAGAUAUGAUCCAGAGUACCACGGGACACGUGAAACCCUGUGGGAAGCAGGAGGGACCACCCUCCAAGGCUAAAUACUACCUAGUGACCGAUAGCGUAUAGUACCGUGAGGGAAAGGUGAAAAGAACCCCGGGAGGGGAGUGAAAUAGAACCUGAAACCCUGCACUUACAAGCUGUGGAAGCACAUUUCUUGUGUGACCGCGUACUUUUUGUAGAACGGGCCAACGAGUUACGUUAAGUAGCAAGGUUAAGCACUUAAGGUGCGGAGCCGUAGCGAAAGCGAGUUUUAACUGAGCGUUCAGUUACUUGACGUAGACCCGAAACCGGGCGACCUACCCAUGAGCAGGAUGAAGCGAAAGUAAAAUUUCGUGGAGGUCCGAACCCACGAGCGUUGAAAAGCUCGGGGAUGACUUGUGGGUAGCGGUGAAAUUCCAAUCGAGCCCGGAGAUAGCUGGUUCUCCCCGAAAUAGCUUUAGGGCUAGCCUCAAGGUGAGAGAUACGGAGGUAGAGCACUGAAUGUCCUAGGGG